rnacentral:rRNA from 1 species
GAACGAUGAACCACUUCGGUGGGGAUUAGUGGCGAACGGGUGAGUAACACGUGGGCAAUCUGCCCUGCACUCUGGGACAAGCCCUGGAAACGGGGUCUAAUACCGGAUACUGAUCCUCUUAGGCAUCUUGGAUGAUCGAAAGCUCCGGCGGUGCAGGAUGAGCCCGCGGCCUAUCAGCUAGUUGGUGAGGUAAUGGCUCACCAAGGCGACGACGGGUAGCCGGCCUGAGAGGGCGACCGGCCACACUGGGACUGAGACACGGCCCAGACUCCUACGGGAGGCAGCAGUGGGGAAUAUUGCACAAUGGGCGAAAGCCUGAUGCAGCGACGCCGCGUGAGGGAUGACGGCCUUCGGGUUGUAAACCUCUUUCAGCAGGGAAGAAGCGAAAGUGACGGUACCUGCAGAAGAAGCGCCGGCUAACUACGUGCCAGCAGCCGCGGUAAUACGUAGGGCGCGAGCGUUGUCCGGAAUUAUUGGGCGUAAAGAGCUCGUAGGCGGCUUGUCACGUCGGUUGUGAAAGCCCGGGGCUUAACCCCGGGUCUGCAGUCGAUACGGGCAGGCUAGAGUUCGGUAGGGGAGAUCGGAAUUCCUGGUGUAGCGGUGAAAUGCGCAGAUAUCAGGAGGAACACCGGUGGCGAAGGCGGAUCUCUGGGCCGAUACUGACGCUGAGGAGCGAAAGCGUGGGGGAGCGAACAGGAUU